CGUUGAUUCCCGUCGCCCCCUCAUUCUGAUUCCACCCACCACCAAAUCGCCGGCGAUUCCCGGUGACAGCCGCGGCUCACGGAGAUCCCGGAGCGCGCGUCGUGUACGGGCGAAGCGGACAGCGCCUCGCGACUAGAGGUCCUACGGCGGGAGCGGCGGCCGCCCCUGGCCAACGGUGAGCUACACGGAGGGCAGCAGCAGCGAGAUGGAAUCACAUUGCCUGUGUCGGCGGCUAUGGAGAGAAGUGUAGGAAGCUUCAGCGCGAGUUGGGGAGAUGGUGGCGAGGGGAGCUCGUACCGGCGGCGGUUGGAGAUGAGACGCAGGGCAGUAGCCGCGCAUGGAAAUGGGGGACGCACCUUGGUGCGGUGGGGGACUAGCAGCAAAGGCGCCAUCUACUCCAGGAUCCCGGCGCUGGUUCAUUGGGUUAGCGCCUGCUGCCUCUGCUCCAGUGGGAGCCGCUCCUGCUUGUGCUCCGGUCGUCGCCAGCAGGUCGAGUAGGUGGCGUCGUCGAGGUUCCUGCAGUCGUGAACAGGGGACCUGGGAGCUGAGCCGGUUCGGGGAUCACGGGCAGCGCCGUCAACAUAGAGCUGGUGAGAUUUCUGCUCCAUUCCUCCCCCCACGACAGCUUCAUUCGGCUGAAAUUGCAGUGGAUAGUGUAUGUUUGCAGCUAUGGCAAUUCUUGUACUGAAUUUUUUGCCAUUAAAAUGCAGUGGACAGUGUGUAAUUUUUUGCAGAUAUGGCAAUUUCUGUAGUGGAA
rnacentral:rRNA from 1 species